AGCUAAGUACAAAUUUGUUAUUGUCCAGGAUUUAAGGUUUUUUGAGAGUGGGGUUAGAGGAAGACUGUUGGGGUUUGUUUGUUUGUUUGUUUAAUCUAAUAAUCAGAAUGUAAUACUUGCUCUGAGUAGGGUAGAUAGUGGUAAGAAAGCCAGCUGCCAGUCAGCAAUUCCUACACUAUUAUUUACUAAUAUUCUUAGUGGAAAGGCCAUGAUGGCAUAAGGUGAAGGAUGAUGGAGUCUCAAAAAAAGGCUAAGUAGCCAAACCUUUCACUGCCACUUUGCUUAGCACUAGUUAUUUGUGAACAUUGGCAGGGAUUAACAGAAAAAUUCUCUUCUGAAUCUGGGUACUGAAACGAUUGACAGUUUGAAUAUAGAGCCAAAGAACAUGGUUUUUCAAAGGAUAUGGAAGUUCAAUGAGUAAAGAUAAAAGGAAUUAACAAAAACAAAGGACCCUCAAGCUUUUAUCUAAGGAAGUGCUAUAUCUUGAUUAGAGAAACUAUCUUUAAGGUUGUCUGUAAACUAGUAUUUUAAAAUUGCCUAAUUUGCCUGUUUCUGUAACUUUCUCUGAUAUUGAAAUUUAGAAUGAUUUAUAAAAUGUUGGGUUUCUAGUGAAUGUCACAUGAUGUUCAUACGUAAAAAUAUUGAAAGCGAAUAAUUAGUCUUAACCAGCUGAUACCUUAUUUUGCAAAGCAUGUCCAAAUAGCAGCAUUGAACAAUUAUUAGUAUGAAGUUGAUUGUAAUCUCAUCAACUUCCUAGCUGUAUAGAUUUUUUGCCUGAUUUCAAGAUUAUUUGUUUCCUCUCUCCUUUGUGUUGCAUUCUUCUGUAUUGAGCAUGAUGGGAUAUGUCGAGGGAUGGUUUUCCCCAAUCAUUGGAUUAGAUCUUCUGUUUUAACAGCAGUAUUUGAAUUUCUUUGGUGCCAGAUCAUGGUUUCAUGUCAAAAAACUUUCUCGGUGCUGUAAAAUUUCCUUGGCUACUGUUUCAGUCUCUAGCAGUAUUCUCCAACUUAUUGGAGUUUGGAUAUUUGCCUUGUUCUUUCAUAGUGGUCCAUUUGUCCAGUCACAACUUUACUACUGUGUUCUGUUGGUUUUCUGUCCUUUCUCUUCCUUUUCUUAUUGUAAGCUGGUUUAUUUUAAGUUAUAGAAGAGAAACACAUCAGAAUAGUUAAAUUGACAGCAAGAGUACACCACUAAGUCAUAGCAGACUUACAUAAUAGGAGGAAAUGAAACAUAAAAUCAAAUGAAACUGCUAGCAGCAUUGAAAUUCAUUGAAGCAGAGUUUAGGCGGACCCAUAUUAACAAAAGUUUUCUCAAGGAGUCUGGGUAGACAGAUCUACAAAGCAAAGCACAUCCACAGAAAGGGCAUACUUUAUAUAUUCAUGACUAAUGCUGCUUCAGUUUACCAUCUGUAGUAGAAAAAUAUAAUAAAGCAUCAGAAAUAUAUGUCCACUUUCUAUAGGUUCUUAAACUGCUGCUUAUGGAGAGCUGGCUAGCAAUACGUUGAUGAUUCUUUAUUUCUGGCAACUAAAUUGCAUUAAAAGACAGCUAAAAAUACAUUAAAUACUCCCUAAUGUCGCCUUCCCACAUAAGCAAUUGGUGUAGAUGCUGCAGGGAUGUUGUGAGACUGUGAAAGGAAGUGGAACAUUUGUGAACAGGAGGGGAAGUAAGUGGCCCUCAUGGUGAAAGAUGUGAGAAUCCCAGUGCUACAGCAUAACAAUAGAGUAAAAUAGCACUGCUGCCCUAUUACAAAUGCAUCCAGGAAAACAAACACAAACUGGGCCUCCGAACAUUUUGGAAACUGAGCUAAAUAAAGCUGUGACAGCUAAAAUGUGCAGAGUAUUUGUUCAGGGAACUGUGCAUUCUACUCCAGAAACAACAUUUUCCAACUCCUUUCAUUGUAGUUUUCUAUCUAGGUUGUAGUGGAACCAUUUUUCUUUUCCAGGGACAGUGUCCAAGUGACUCAAUAAAUGACAAUAAAUCUGAAUUGUAAUGCACUAUUAAUAUGAAUACCCACAUAAGCCAAUGGCUCCAAAGUUUUGUCUGCUCUGAUCAAUUUUAAAAUUAAAAAUGAUCAGUUAUAAAAACUGUUUUAGGAAAACCAUAAUCAUUCGUCAAAAACAAAUCUCUACCAGCAUAUUUUAGCCUAUGCCUUUAGUUUUAUUUAGUGGUGUAAAGGUGUGGGACCAGGGCUCGACCCUCUCUGAGGGGCGGAAGGGAGCCACACCGGCUCCCUACACGCUGUCGGGCUGGGCAGGUCCUGGGGCGAUGAACACCAAAGCACAAGGCUCCGUCCCGGGUGCAGGGCAGAGCAACAAUACAGAAGUCAAAGGGGGCUCAGGCCCUCUGCUUCAGGGCUGAGCGACAAGACAGAGUCAAAGGGGGCUCAGGCCCUCUGGUCCGGGGCUGAGCAGCGAUACAGCCUAAAGGGGGCCCAGCCCUAAGUUCGGACGGGGCAACAAAUGCAGCGUCACAAAGCUCAGAUCUUUGGCUCAGGGCUGAGCAAACCACAGGGUUUAGGAAGCUCAAGCCCUCUGGUUCAGGGCUGAGCAGCAAUACAGUCUAAAGGGGGCCCAGCCCUAAGUUCAGGUGGGGCACCAAACGCAGAGUCACAAAGCUCAGACCUUUUGGCUCAGGGCUGAGCAAAACACUGGGUUUAGGAAGCUCAUGCUCUCUGGUUCAGGGCUGAGCAGCAAUACAGUCUAUAAGCCCAGGCCUGAGCACCCCGGGGGGGGGGGAGACUGCCACUCGUAAGUGGGGUGGCAGGGGGGACGCAGGCCCACACCCACUCCACUACGUCCCAGCCCGGGGCCCUAACAACGGCAGACAGUCCGCUGCUGCGUCAGUGGGGAUCCUGCCCGCAACACACUGACAUAGGCUCGGAUAUGGUCGCAUCCUGACCGGAGUCAGCUGCCCCUGGGCUACUUCUGACCUCCCCCUCAGGGCCUACCUGGUCCGUGGGGUCGCCUCCCGGGAAGUCCAGCAGCAUGGGCUCCUCGCGGCCAGGGCUGGGUGGCAGAUCCGGUCGUUCCUCAGGGAAGUCCGGGCUGGCUUGCUCCAGUGGUUCCUCCGGGUAACAGCAGGGCCGGGGAGGCUCCAGCGGCUCCUCCUGGUAGUAGGCACGGGGAAGCUCCGGCAGCUCCUCCAAGUAGCGGGCGCGGGGAAGCUCCAGCCAGUCAGGGCGGCUGCCCUGGGCCCUAGAGGGUUCCCAGUCUCGAGCUCCCUGCGGCAGGUCUGCUCCUGGCGGCGGCUGGACUCCAGCUGAGCUCUGAUGGCCGGCUUUUGUAGUUCCGGGACAUUGCCUGACCCUCUGAGGGGUGGGCUCAUCGCUCCUUAGCCCCGCCCACUCAGGCUUCUGGCUGGGCACUCCCUGUCCUGGACAGGAGGGGAGCCACACCGACUUGCUACAAGUGGCCAAUUUGUGGAAAGUGUCUCAGCUGUACAAACAUGGAGAAGGUUAUUAGACUAAUAUGUAGUAAGGUAAAGAAAACUUGAGAGAGGGGAGAACUAGCCCUGCAUUCACAAAAAUGGAACAACUAGAGUGGGGAUGUGCUAAAAAACUCCUCUCAUGCAAUAUCUAUGCAAAUAGAAUACAUAACCUAAAUCAACUGGUAUGGAAUAAGGACUAGUAAAUGUGCCACAUUAACCGAUUGGCCAGAUCUGAAAAUUUGCCAUACCUAUGAAAUCAGCCACCUACCUGCUCAGAGCUAUUAUGCCAAAGUUCAUUCAGAUGUUAUGCCAUCCUUGAAAGAAAUGGAAUUCCUGUCAGUCUAGAGGUGAAACAUAAUAUAAAUACACACUAUACCACCAGACACCAAGCUCAGCAAAACUACUGGCAAAUAGAGAAAGGAAAUAUAAUAUUGGAUGUCAGGUUUUUUAAAAGGCUGAUCCUUGUUCACAAGGUUUUUUGUCUUUGCUUGUGUGAAGGAACAGGGAACUUGAAGGCAGAUAGAAAAUCAGGGUCCUGAUUCUUUACUACUCUAAGGCUGCUUCACACCAUUUUGGCAGGGUAAAGGGACCUUAAACUGAGCAUAAAUGUAAUAUAUUUACAACACACUUUCAGUCUUAAUGAGAAUCAGGCCUCAGAAGUUUGUUUUCUGGUUUCUUACUAGGAUUACUUAAAGGAGAACACUGCUGAAAUUCUAAAGAGACUCAAACAAAUCCUACAAUGUGUGGAUAUCGGGGGGGUUUUAACAGCUGUUCCAUGUAGAAUGGUGGUGAGGGAAAGGGUUUCAAGAUGAUAGUACUUUCCUAUCUUCGAGGAAAAAGGAUUGAGCUCUGACAAAAAAAAACCAUGAAAUGAAAGUGUUAGGUAAUUUUUGUAGAGUCUUUACCCAGUGGUUUAAAUCUCUCAUACGGUAUUUCCUGAUUGCACAGAUGGUUAUUAAGUACUUCACUACUUAGAUGUUUGCACACAAAUACUUACUACUUAUUAUUUGCUGAGGAGAGAUGUCUCUGGUUUGAAUUGCUCACUUUGAGCAGAGCAGAUUAGGGGUUUGUGGGGCCCUGGGCCAGAGCAAGUGGGGGCCCCUCCCCACCCCUUCCGCCUGCAGUCCCCCCUCCUCCCAUGCUCCUGCCAGGGUACAGGGUUGGGACACGGGGGCUUCCCCCACUCUCCGGCAGGAACACUGGCGUAGCGGGUCAGAGUGUGGGGACCUCCCAGUUGGUCAGGGCCACUGGGACAGGCCCCAUUGGCCAGUCUGCUACUGCUCUGAGAAAGAAAGGUAUUCUGAAAAAUUGAUUGUAAAAGAUAUUUAAGGCUUUAUCCCUGGGUCUUAGUUACAUCAGUUAAACAUUUCAUGUUUGACUAAUACAAUGAUAUUAUCCAAAACCCAGUGAAGUCAACAGGAAAUUUUUCUGUUGAUUUCAGUGGACUUUGGUUCUAGACCUAGAGGAAGGAAAGAAACAAAGGCAAUGCAUUUUAAAGCCAGCCAUUCCAUAUGCAGUACAUUUACUGCCUUUGACAACAGGCUGCUUUACAUGCAGAGUUUCUAGUUUCACAUCCGUGCAAGAAGAGUUGGUCAUUUGAGUUUUACAGUUACUGAAAGACACCUUAAGACUGCUUUCUCUGCUCUUUGCAACUUAGCCUUCAGCCAUCUUUCUGGGCGUUUUAUUUUGUUCUUUCUUUGUUUUUUUUGUUUUACUAUAACACUUAUUCUAAUCCUUUAGAAAUGGUAGCAUUCAGCAAACCUUAACAACUGCAAAUAAGGUAUUGGCAUUGGACGGGUUAUUUUAAAUUUUAGCUUUUGGUUAUAUAUUCUAAGUGGUUUAUAUUGAGUGUGUGGCUACCAUGGGUAGUAGUCUAACCCAUUAACGCACUGAGACUGUCUAAAGACCCUUCACUUUUCUCUCAUAGUACUUAUUAGUAACAAAGAUACUGGAGAAAUAAUUUGCCCUUUGGAGGCCGCUUUGAAUCUGUAAUUGUUGAAAGAUAAGCUCUGGGGAGAAAAACAAAAUGUGCUACAGUGAAAAACAGUUGUCUGACUGAAUGUAUACCUAUGCAUGUGGGGUGAAAUCCUGACCCCAUUCACCCAGGAUUUUCUCACUGUAUAAGAAAUUCCAUCUUGUCAUCUCCUAGUGAAAAUCGGCAGACCCCAAAAGUGGUGGCCUCUUCUCCACCAUUGCCCAAAGCAAUGCCUUCUACAGCACCACUGCACUCUUUAUAAAAGCCCUACCAGUGUCAAACAUUUUUUCUCUCAACAUUCACUAAUUCAGCAAUCCACAGCUGCUGGAGGAAAUUUCACUCAGACCUUGCUUCCCGAACUGUAGUGUUCUGAGGCCAUGGUUCUGUAUAUGCAGAGCCAGGGGCUCUAGUAACACCCUCUGAGAUUACAGCUUUAAACUGCUUAAGCAGUAAUAAAUAGAAAUAUAAGUAAUAACUAAAAAGCCAAGAGCCUUAACUAGUCCUAACAACUAUUUAAAGACAAAGCACAGUUGCAAAUUAAUUAUGAAUACUUCGUAGAAUUUACAUUAUAAAUGGAGGGUGUCUCUUAUUGAUCAGGUAAUAACCAUAUCCUAUUCUGAUGUCCAAAAUUAUUGAGCUAACAGGGAACACCCAGAAGUUAACAACACACGGAAAUGUGCUGUCCCUCACUGCUGCGCCUCUCAGGAAGGGUAAUCGCCACAUUCCAAUAGCAAAUGUAAUUUGUUUUAUAUUGGAUUUAUUUUAAAAGCUUCCUCUAUCCUGGCAAAGGUUGUUUUUACAUUCAGCAUAAAAAGCUGCAGAUAUUGGUGUGGGGGACUGGACUCUUCCAUGCUCCCUGCCCCAGGUCAGUGCUGCUGAGCCGAAGCUAAGUGGGGAGGGGUAGCUUUUAAAGAAAAUAUAAUCUGAAAGGCAAAUGACUCGGGAGAGGAUUUAGCAUUCCUCUAGAGCAAAGAGGACAAGGGGCAAGGGCUAGAAGGACUAGGGGCAUAUGGGUAGCAGGAUGAGGAAGGCAUGAUUAGUUGAGGUGUUGUAGUCACCUGGAUGUGGAGUUCUGAGAGCAGUAGCCAAGCAGAGCACGGAUUUGUAUGCCAUACAGUUAUGUUGCCAAUUGGACACACACAUCCCAGCCAAUAAGAAUGCAGAGAGCUACACCAAGAAAUAAUUGGACAGUUGUGGGUCAGUAACUGUGCUGCUUCCCUGCACCGCAGUUGACUCAGACAAUUCUGCUUCAGCAUAACUUGUUCAUUGAGUUUGUAAAAAUGCCUUUUCUCCUCUGCAUUUUUCUUUAAAUUGUUCAUGUGAGUAAAUUUUGAGCUGGCAGUUGAAAUUGCAUUUUAAAUUCAGACACAGCUACCGUAGUACCAAAGUUUAGUGGUAGGUGGGCUUUUUUUUUGUUGUUGCUUUCUUUUCUUUCUUUUUUUUUUCUGUAUCGUGUUGUAUACAGUAUUACACAUAUAUGACGUUAUGUAAGCAAUUACUGUGCAUAGAAAGCUAUUGUGACUGGCUGGAGUAUUACAAGAUUACAAAAACCUGCAGUAAGUUCAUCUUAAAGGUAGAAAUGCAAAAUGGAUCCUUCUGAGUUGAUUUUUGUUUCACAAGAAAUUGUAAGUUGGGCAAAGAUAUCAUUUCUGUUCAAACACCUGCUUAAGAUUCCUGCUUGGCAACAUGCCUGGAGAUAGAGAUCAUCUCCGUACUGUUAUAUGCUUCCUUUAAAAGCUGCCUUUAGACCAGUAUUAGCCCAAGUGCUCUAGCACUUUGGUAUUGCAUUGCCUGUCCCUCCACAAGUGUGCAUGGAAACAGCACAAAACCACUAAGCAUUAACUGAAAACAAUUUCCUAUUCAAAAAAACAAACAAAAAAAAUCCUAAUCUCCUGGAAAGUGUUACUUUAAUGAUGUCUUUGCUUUUUUUCCCCAUCCCCAGUAAACCCCACGAUCACACUACAUUCUUCCCUCCCCUCUUUGCAAACAGACAGAAAAGGCCUGUUUACAAACACUUCGGAGGGGAAGUUUGUAACUUCCAUUGAAUUAUUUGCUGGGGAAGGUGCUUCCAUUCAGCAGAUGAAUUGUAAAUAUUCUGCAUAUGCUUUGUUGACAACACAUAAAAUGGAAAAAAGUUAUAUCUGUGAAAUAUUAAGCUAUAUAUGUAUAUAGAUAAAAAUACAUAUUAUCUUUCACUCGUUACUACAGAGCUGUAAUCAACUGUAUAUUAAACUGUUUUACUGUAUUGCAGUACAUUUCACGCUAUCUUCGAUGUCGAAAAGCUGGGAAAGUAAUUCACAAUACAGUAUGUCAACUUCAAAUUUGUUUGCUUUUUUAUUUUGCUUAGGCACCACUUCAAAUAGAAUCUGUGCCAGCUGUACAUUGUUUCAGAGAAUUACUGUUUGGAACAUACACUCUUGGACUUUUUAUUUACUGAACAUUGACUCCUCAGAAUAGUUCUUUGUGAUUGCUUAUGAGACUUCACUCAUUUCAUUUGUGGUUAAGUAGGAUAUUUGAGAGGAAUUUUAAAAAGCAAAGGGACUUCUCAAGUCGUGUACGGCUCAGAUUAGAAGUACUCUAAUUAUUUGGUGGCAAAUGACCUUUAAAUUCUAAAUACCAGUUUUUACAAAACUCCUUUCUGAGACAGACUUUUUUUAUAAUACACUGCUGUACAUUGUGAGUCCGCGCUACAGCAACAGUUAACUGACAGACAAUGCUCUUGGAAGAGUGCUGUUGUCACUCUUAAUUCAGGUGCAAAUCUAAGGAAAUGAAGAAAAAGAGCCAUAUUGAUUUUAAUUUCAGUAGAAUCUCUAAGGAAAGAGUUCGACUAAGAUUUUCAAAGUCUUAAUGUUUGUCAACUAGAAAACUGAACACUGUAGACAAGAUGUAUUAUGGUAAGUAGUACAGUACACUAUACAACUUGGGUAUCUCCAACAAGCAUCCUGUUGUAUUUUACUUGGGUUCAUGUGGCUUUGGAUUAUUUAACUCAAAAGAUUUAAAGAAAAUUCUGAACUCUUGCAAAAUAAGUGCAGAAGAAAUGAAGGUUUUUUCUCUUUUCUGGAUUCUAUGUCCACCCUACUCCAUCCAGAUGCACUCUUCUCAUCUUUAUGCCUGCCAAAUGAACCUUAUUUAUUUACAUUUGCCACAUCUUUUAAAGGACAUCUUUACAUCCUUUUUACCUGGUGAUGACAGAGCUAUCCAGUUGUAGAUUAUUUUGCGUGUUAAAUUGGACAGCAAAUGAAUUGUGGAUUUUCUGUUAUUAUUUACGUAGCCCCAUUGGUAUGCAAUGGGAUUUCAGCAGAUGCUUCAUCAGGAACUUUGUCCCUUACUGAACCAUUGAGAGCUACAGUCUGAUUUUUCUUAAAAGUUUUCUCAGAAGGACAGGUAAGUAUCAGAGCGCUUGUAUAACACACAUAUGGUACCAUUCAGUCUUAAGGCAGCCAGCCAUUAGCCACAUUUACCACCAUAUUACUCAAACUCAACCCAGGAAUUUUUAUACCAAUACACAUAUUUUAACCAAUACUCAAGAGUUCCUGGGUGUCAGCCUUCUGUUGUAGGUGAAAACUGUUUGAACAUUAUCCAAGUAUUUCUGUUUGUUUUCAUUGUAGAUCAUGGUGAUUGUCAACAGCCAAGAGACAUUUUUUAAUAAAUCUUAUAAAGGAAUUUCCAAUAAA